rnacentral:rRNA from 1 species
UGGAGCAUGUGGUUUAAUUCGACGAUACGCGAAGAACCUUACCUGGCCUUGACAUACUAAAAAGCUUUAAGAGAUUAGAGUGUGCUAGCUUGCUAGAAUUUAGAUACAGGUGCUGCACGGCUGUCGUCAGCUCGUGUCGUGAGAUGUUGGGUUAAGUCCCGCAACGAGCGCAACCCUCGUGUUUAGUUGCUAACAGUUCGGCUGAGAACUCUAAACAGACUGCCUACGCAAGUAGGAGGAAGGUGAGGACGACGUCAAGUCAUCAUGGCCCUUACGGCCAGGGCUACACACGUGCUACAAUGGGGUAUACAAAGAGCAGCGAUACGGUGACGUGGAGCAAAUCUAGAAAAUGCCUCUCAGUUCGGAUUGUAGUCUGCAACUCGACUACAUGAAGUUGGAAUCGCUAGUAAUCGUAGAUCAGCAAUGCUACGGUGAAUACGUUCCCGGGUCUU